rnacentral:rRNA from 1 species
GACGAACGCUGGCGGCGAGCUUAACAAAUGCAAGACGAACGGAAAGGCCCUGAUUUUGUGGGGUGCUCGAGUGGCGAAGGGGUGAGUAACACGUGAGUAACCUGCCCUUGACUUUGGGAUAACUUCAGGAAACUGGGGCUAAUACCGGAUAGGAGCUCCUGCUGCAUGGUGGGGGUUGGAAAGUUUCGGCGGUUGGGGAUGGACUCGCGGCUUAUCAGCUUGUUGUGUGGGUAGUGGCUUACCAAGGCUUUGACGGGUAGCCGGCCUGAGAGGGUGACCGGCCACAUCGGGACGUAGAUACGGCCCAUACUCCUCCGGGAGCAAUCAGUCUGGAAGCUUGCAUAAUGGGCGAAAGCCUAAUUCAGCAACGCCGCGUGCGGGAGGACGGCCUUCGGAUUGUAAGCCGCUUUCGCCUGUGACGAAGCGUGUGUGACGGUAAUGGGUAGAUAAUCACCGGCUAACUACGUG